UACGUAGGGGGCAAGCGUUGUCCGGAAUCAUUGGGCGUAAAGCGCGUGUAGGCGGCUUGGUAAGUCCGGUGUGAAACCUUGGGGCUCAACCCCAAGCCUGCAUCGGAAACUGCCUCGCUCGAGUCCGGGAGGGAGAGCGGAAGUUCCUAGUGUAGCGGUGAAAUGCGCAGAUAUUAGGAAGAACACCGGUGGCGAAGGCGGCUCUCGUGGAACGGUACUGACGCUGAGACGCGAAAGCGUGGGGAGCGAACAGG
rnacentral:rRNA from 1 species